rnacentral:lncRNA from 1 species
UAGGGACCAAAGAAAGGCCCUAUUAACUUAAGAAGCAGCUCUUGUGAGGAGGAUCAGCGAUGAUGGGAUCUGCUGACUUGAGGUUUUCCUUUUUGUGCAUGACAAAUAAUAAGGAACUGAGUAGUUUUGUGUGUUGAGAAUCGAGAAUGGCUAUUGUCCAAGGAGUGAAGUUUUCUUUAGAGAUAGAAUUGGAGGGAGAGAACAAAUAAUUGGGUAGAUGAUCACACCUUUCCCCCCUCCCUAUCCAUGUUGUAAUAAGAUAGUUGCCCCUGCAAAUCUAUUUAUUUCAAUCUGCUUUUGAACAGAUGCAAGUGUUACUUUGAGGUUUAAGAACAAGUUCCAAUUUGAUUUGGUUGCACCAAUUUUACAGGGUUAUUGACCUAAUACGUCUCGUACAAUAACGCCUUGGUCAUAACUGUUUAAAAAUUAUUGUACUAAGUCUUGAAUUUGUUUUCCAUCGGUGACUAAUUUAUCAACUUAUUCUGUUAAACUCGACACGUAGGACGGUUUUGGAGCGACAACUCAACGCAAUCAACUACACUGUUUCAUAAAAACAUGCAACGUCGACUUUAACAUCAUUCUCAUCCUCUUCAAUCCGAAAACAUAUGUCCCUUUUGGAGCGACAACUCAACGAGUAAAUGUAUAAUGGAUAUGGUUGAGCCAAAUGUCAUCCAAAGAAACCAUAUUUAUANNNNNNNNNNNNNNNNNNNNNNNNNNNNNNNNNNNNNNNNNNNNNNNNNNNNNNNNNNNNNAUAUUUAUAAUAUAUAUAUAUAUAUAUAUAUAUAUAUAACGGCAUCGAUAUAUAGAAAGCGAGCGCUUUUGGUACGCGAGGGUAUUCAUUACCUUCAAUACUAAAAAUCAAAAUUUCUAAAAUUUAAAAUUCAAAUUAUAAAUCAAUCAAAUAAUAAUGUUAGCCAUAAAGUUUUGGAGAUGAUGCCUAACCUAGAUACCAUAACUUGGAACUCUCUCAUUACCGCUUGUGCAGCUAAUGGAAUGGGGCAUAAAGCACUGACAUUUCUGGAAAAGAUGUAGAAUUCUGAUCAUUUGAAGCCUGAUUUGGUUUCUUGGAGUUUGAUGAGGAAGCCAUAGAUUUGCUGUCAAGCAUGCAAGCAGAAGAAGGUCCCAACCGAAUUCACGUACCGUGGCAAGUGUUUUCCAGUGUGUGCUAGAUUGGAAAGGAGUAGGCUUGGGAAAGAACUCCAUGGUUACAUUGCGAGGCAUGGUUUUAUGGCUAACACUUAUGUGGUGAAUGGAUUGGUUAAUGUAUAUAGGAUAUACAGCAACAUGAAAAGCGCGCAUGCAAUCUUUUCAAAAUUUGCAGUGAAAAAUAGAGUUUCCUACAACACAAUGAUUGCAGGGUAUUGUGAGACCUGAAUCGUGUCCAAGGCAAUGCAACUCGUGGAGUUCGGAGAAGUUUAAUUAUGUGGAACUCCAUGAUUGUAGGAUACGUAGAUAACAUUGGAUGGCCAUCGGAACAGAUUGUACCGGAUUCUUUUACGUUAGGAAGUGCCUUUAAUGCUUGUGCUAAUAUGGCUUCUUUGAGAAAGGGUAAGGAGAUUCAUUCUAUUGCUAUUUCCCGAGGGUUGCAAUCUGAUGCAUUCGUAGGAGCAGUUCUUGUGGACAUGUACUGUGCAUGUCAGGAUAUAGUAGCUGCUCAGUUGGCUUUUGCUGAGGUUAUUGAUAACGAUAUCACCACCUGGAAUGCUCUGAUAUUUGGAUACGCUAGCUUACACGAUACUGAAAAGGUUCAAGUUUUGCUUCAGCAAAUGAGGGAAGAUGGUCACGAACCGAAUUCGUACACAUGGAAUGGUAUUCUGAAAUGUCAUUUACAAGAUGGCAAACUAGACUUAGCGGAGCAGUUAUUAUCUGAAAUGCAAUGACAGCUUAUAGUCGGCUACCGGAACCAAAUUUGGUGUCCCACAACGCAAUGCUCUAGGCUUAUGCCAUGCAUGGAUAUGGGGUGCACGGAAUAUCUCUAUUCCAAAAGAUUCUGGAAACUGGGUACAGACCUGAUGAAGUAACUUUCCUAUCUUCUCUUUGUUCCUUCAUGCUGGAUCGGUUGAGAGGGGUCGUAUACUGUUCGGAGUGAUGGAGAACUCCGGCAUGAAACCCACAUUAAAACAUUUUACAGCAAUGGCUGACCUGCUGAGCCGUUCAGGAAAGCUUGUAGAAGAGCAUAAGCUGGUCAAAAGGAUGCCCAUGGAAGCUGAUUCAGUUUUAUAGGGUGCUUUGCUUGGAGGUUGUGUGAUUCAUGGUAAUGUUGAGAUAGGAGAGAUAGCUGCAAGGAAUCUGUUUGAACUAGAACCAGAGGAGAGUGGGAAUUAUGUGAUGUUGGCUAAUCUGUAUGCUUAUUCAAAAAGAUGGUCGGAUUUGGAUAGAACAAGAAAUGUUUUGAAAGCGAGAGGAUUGCAUAAGAAUCCUGGGUGUAGAUGGAUUGAAGACAGAGAAGAAGUCCACACCUUCCUUGCUUGUGAUAUAUCUCAUAAAAGAGCAGAUGAAAUCUAAUUUGCUUUAGAUACUUUAACCCUUCACAUGAGAACAAGGUUGUUAAUAUCUUCAGAAGUGAAAUACACCAUUUAGAAGGAGGUCGUCUCUCAAAUGUACAUGGUUCAGAGAGGGACUUGACUAGUAUGUAAUGGGAUAAAAUUCAGUCAAUCUAAUGAACUAUUUACACACACUGCUACUUCUCCAAUUCUACAGAACAGUCUCAGCCGUGUACUUGGGGAUCAAAGUUAGUAGUGUACUUGAUUUUGGCUGUCUUCCUGAAAUGUUAAUUUUAGUAAUUGCUCUUUCCUGUUUCAGAUCUGGAAGCCUAAGGAAUGCCUCGAAUUAUUUCCCAGCAGUAGAAAUGUACAAGCAGAGGCCGACAUAAUUGAUCCGCUCACUGUUAAACUACCCAACCUUGGAAUGACUCUUUUUGCCGAUGCAGUUCAGGCAAAUAAAAGAUCCAAUGGACAUCAUCAAAAUGACAAUUUCUAGUCAACCGGGGGCGUAUGCACAUGUUGAUGAACUGAUAGACGUUGCCAAAUUUCUUGGAUUGAACUCUCCAGAUGACACUUUAGCAGUUCAGGAAGUAAUUGCCAGAGAAGCCGCUGUGGCUGAUGAUCUGCAGUUGGCAUUUGACCUCUGCCUUGUUUUGUCUAAUAAAGGACAUGGACCCAUAUGGGAUUUGUGUGCUGCAAUAGCAAGGGGUCCCACCCAUGAAGAUAUGGAUAUACGCUCAAGAAAGCAGCUAAUAGGUUUUGCUUUGAGUCACUGUGACGAGGAAUCUAUAAUGGAGCUUCUUCAUGCAUGGAAGGAACUUGAUAUGCAAGGGCACGGAAGAGAUGCACAAACUCAAAUCAAGUGAGGGCUCUGUUGGAAUAAUGAGUUUCAAUCCAGUGUGCCUGUCAAACUGUGUCCGGUUAUUUGUGACAUUAGUGAGGGAGGACAUUGUAUCGCCAAGUCAGGCCUGGGGGACCAUCGUCAGCUACGUAAAUAACGGGUUAAUUGGUGUGAGGGAGGACAUUGUAUCGCCAAGUCAGGCCUGGGGGACCAUCGUCAGCUACGUAAAUAACGGCUUAAUUGGUGAUUGUGCAGUUGAAGCUACGGUCUUUUCUGGUUGCAGUUUCGGUGCUGUAUUGGAAUUGUACUCGGAAAUGAUAUCACAGGAUGUCGAUAGUUCAACUGCUGAAACUCGAAAUCUCGCUCACCUCUACGGAAGCAUGCUGGAUCAGAUCUUAAGGGACUUGGUCAACGGAACCCUUGACCGCAAGGAUCUGUUUCACCUACUAUCAUCUCUGGGUAAGAUGGAAGGUAAACGUGGAGCAUCUUCAGCAGGUUAGGCGUGUGGUUUGGGAAAGAAUGGCACAGUUCUGUGAUGAUUUGCAGCUACCGAAUAACAUCCGAGUAUAUGCCUUGGAAAUUAUGCAGUUCAUUGCAGGUGGAAACACUAAAGGUUUCUCUUCAGAGCUUCAGUCCAAUGUCUUGCCAUGGGAAGGCUGGCAUGAAUUGCUCACAAGUAGUACGAACGAGUCUACUGGAACCCUUGGGCUGCCUGAUCGUCCAGAUAAUUCUAGCAGGCUCACGAGCACUUUGGUAUCCCUGAAAUCAUCCUAGCUCGUGUCAGCAAUUUCUUCCAGUAUGGAAAUCUCCCCUGACGAUCUCUCAGACACUGAGGCUGCUACUUCCUGCUUUUUGAAACUGUGUGAAGUCUCCAGUACGAAUCAGCAUGCGGAGGUGAAACAGAGUAUAAGUAUAGUGGUUCAAGGUCCAGAACUGAAAGCCACAUUUUCCUCCGGGAGGUAAUUGCAGUAGCUCCACCGUAGUUCGAGAUCCAGUCGCACCCUUUUUCCAUCGCUCCUUCUCCACUGUAAGCUCCCUCACCUAGCAACCGUAAUGUGACAUAGCUUAAAAACACUUCCAAACAUAGUGAUGGGCCCUUCAAUAAGCAAGCCCCAACCACCAUCUUAAUUCUGCAACAAAGCAUCCAUCCAAUAAAUAGCAAUUGAGUCCAGAAACAUUAGAAGGUGGAAAAAGAGAGGCAGAAACUGCAAUGUCGAAAGUGUUCUGCAGAAAAUUGCAUGCCUGGUGAUUGUAGAGGUAACGGCCAUCUCAUGCUUGUCAUGUUCCGACAGAACUACAUAUAAGCCAAAUUUUCCUAAACCAAACAUAAGACCUAACUAAUCAUCUAUUCACCUGAGGAAUUGGAAUGUUAAGAAUUUUCCUGCAAAUUGACACCAAACAAAGAACAGCUAGAGUAAACUGAAUCCACCACCAACAAAAAAAAAACAAAAA